AGGGUUUGAUUAUGGCUCAGGAUGAACGCUAGCGGCAGGCUUAACACAUGCAAGUCGAGGGGCAGCGUGGAGCAGCAAUGCUCUGACGGCGACCGGCGGAAGGGUGCGUAACACGUGAGCGACUUGCCCGUCACAGGGGGAUAACCGGCGGAAACGGCGACUAAUACCCCAUACGAUGCGAUGCUGCAUGGCAUUGCAUUGAAAGAUUCAUCGGUGGCGGAUAGGCUCGCGGGACAUUAGCUAGACGGCGGGGCAACGGCCCACCGUGGCGACGAUGUCUAGGGGUUCUGAGAGGAAGGCCCCCCACACUGGGACUGAGACACGGCCCAG
rnacentral:rRNA from 1 species